UUUGGUGAAUGGAAGACUGAAGAUGAAGUGAUGAAGGAGUAGUGGAGAAGGUCUCUAUUUAUAGAAAAAGGGGACCAUUUGAUUUCCAUCAAGUGGCGUAAAUCCGUGAGGAAAGAGGGAAAGAAAAAAAUGACCAACGCAACGCAACGAUUGAUAGAUGACCGAUGAGACAAUGACGACGUGACGAUGGUACAAAAACCAUAGGCAUGCCUCCCAAACGGCGAUGCACGCUCCCCAAGGGAUGGCGUUCACUUCUUGAGGGCAGCGCAAGCAGGACUGUUAUUGCGAUGACGGCGCCUGCUACACACACUGGCCAAUGCCCUACGUGCAUAGGCAUGCGGAGCUGUGCAUAGACUGCAUGCUUCGCACCCUGCACGGAUGGGACAUGCAUGCGCGUGUGCACGGCUCGCAGGACUCGCUUGGAUAGGGAAAAAUUUCUUUUGGCCGUUUCUGUAGGAUUUCUCUGUCGUU
rnacentral:lncRNA from 1 species